CAUGCCGUAAACGAUGAGUGCUAAGUGUUAGGGGGUUUCCGCCCCUUAGUGCUGCAGCUAACGCAUUAAGCACUCCGCCUGGGGAGUACGACCGCAAGGUUGAAACUCAAAGGAAUUGACGGGGGCCCGCACAAGCGGAGGAACAUGUGGUUUAAUUCGAUGAUACGCGAGGAACCUUACCCGGGCUCGAACGGUGCAGGAAUACAGGAGAGAUUCUGUAGCAUAGCAAUAUGUCUGCAUCGAGGUGC
rnacentral:rRNA from 1 species